AAACCGAGUCCAGCAUUUACGUGGGCGGGUACGGGGCUUUUUAAUACGUGGCUUGUAGGUGAGGGCGGGAUUCGAACAGAGUCCAGCAGUUACGUGGGCGGGUACGGGGCUUAUUAAGGACGUGGCUUGUAGGUGAGGGCGGGAUUCGAAAGAGUCCAGCAUUUACGUGGGCGGGUACGGGGCUUGUUAAGGAAAGGGCUUGUAGGUGAGGGCGGGAUUCGAACAGAGUCCAGCAGUUACGUGGGCGGGUACGGGGCUUAUUAAGGACGUGGCUUGUAGGUGAGGGCGGGAUUCGAAAGAGUCCAGCAUUUACGUGGGCGGGUACGGGGCUUGUUAAGGAAAGGGCUUGUAGGUGAGGGCGGGAUUCGAACAGAGUCCAGCAUUUACGUGGGCGGGUACGGGGCUUGUUAAGGACGGGGCUUGUAGGUGAGGGCGGGAUUCGAACCGAGUCCAGCAGUUACGUGGGCGGGUACGGGGGUUGUUAAGGACGGGGCUUGUAGGUGAGGGCGGGAUUCAAACAGUCCAGCAUUUACGUGGGCGAGUACGGGGGUUGUUAAGGACGGGGCUUGUAGGUGAGGGCGGGAUUCAAACAGUCCAGCAUUUACGUGGGCGGGUACGGGGCUUGUUAAGGAAGGGGCUUGUAGGUGAGGGCGGGAUUCGAACUAGUCCAGCAUUUACGUGGGCGGGUACGGGGCUUGUAGGUGAGGGCGGGAUUCGAACCAGGUCCAGCAGUUACGUGGGCGGGUACGGGAUAACGGGUAUGAUUCGGACACUUUUUAGAAAAAUAUUUCUAGAAAACGAAAUUUAAGAAGUAGUGUAAUUUUGCUGAUCUCAAAAUGUUCCUCCAUCAUUUGGCUCUGUAGGCUGCUAAUAUGACACUCGUAGCUAUUUCCAGUUUUCAGAUGUAGGUGAUGAAAGACAAGUUUCUAAAUCGUCCCCAGCCGUGAUGAUGGUUCGGCCAGGGAGGUGGGAUGGUACGGACACUCAUAAUACUCGCCAUAAUAUUAAUAUAACUUAAGUUUGAUUGGCUAAUAAACAAGAUUAUAUCUUCUACAAAAGAUUUGUAUGAGGACAAAAGUAUCCUCUCAAUAUUAAGAGGGGAAAAAAUAAAAGGAGAAUUACAAGAAAUAUCUAAAAAAAUUUGGUAUUAUGCCUUCCUUCUCUUCUCACAAGCAUAUAUAUAAGAUCUGAAUAUAAAUCAACCAAAUUAACCUUUUUAUAACCGUUGCAACACCUAUAAUGUUUAAAUUGAUCUAAAUUUAAUAAAAAUCAUGAAAAAAUCAACCGUCCGAAUCAUCACGACUCUAUAAAAAGCAAAUGUGUGGUCACACUCCUUUUCCAGCACGAGGCUUCACGGGUGAUCGUGUUACACGGCAACACCUUCGCCGGGCAUCGCUGCGUCACCGAAAUAAUUUACAUCUCGCUAUUUAGCACGUUUUUGAAGUGAGAGCUUACGAUACACCCUGAAAAUAUUACAUAAGAGAUGCAAAAAAAAACCCAAAAUCGGACUUGCAUCGAAAAUAACAGCUGAGGGCGUGGUUGUCCCUUUGUGGGCCAAGGCAACAAAGUUUUGCAUAUUCACACAAAAUCUCGCGGCACUCACUCCCAUACACUUUACAGUAAGUGCUAUGGCCGGACAAUCCCACUGUCCGAAUCAUCACCCCUCUCCCCUGGACAGGGCUUGUAGGUGAGGGCGGGAGGUUCCUCAGCCCCUGAAUCAUCUUGGUCAUCCUCCUCUGAACUGAUUCUAGCAAUUUGAUGUCCAUUCUGUAGUGUGGGCACCAAAACUGGACAGCAUAAUCUAAGUGUGGCCUAACUAACGCUAAAUAAGAGUCUGAGGAUGACCUCUGCACUCCUGUUGGUUACCGUCCUGUUAAUAAAGCCUAAUACCCUGUUAGCCCUAUUCCUCGCACUAAUACAUUGCUUCCUUAGUUUUAGGUCAGAGUUCACUAACACUCCCAAAUCCCUUUCACACUCAGACCUGCCUAUCGCUGUGGAGUCUAAACUAUACCCGUGUAAUGGAUUGCGUGUUCCUACACUAAGUACGCUACACUUGGUGAUAAAAUUCAUCUGCCAUUUCUCUGACCAAGCUGACAGUUUGUUGAGAUCCUCCUGCAGUCUUCUAGCAUCCUCCCCUGUCCUAAUAAUGGGUCCUAUUUUGGUGUCAUCUGCAAAUUUACCUAUGUCACAAGUUAUCCCAUUGUCUAUGUCAUUGAUGUAGAUAAUGAAUAGAAGCGGGCCUAAAACUGAACCUUGAGGAACCCCACUGGUAACAUUACCCAAUUCGGAUUUUUUACCGUUAAUGGUAACCCUCUGUUUCCUGUCGCUAAUCCACGCCUUACUCCAAUCAAAUACCUUCCCUCUUAUCCCAUGAGCCCUGGCUUUAUUUAACAGUCUCUGGUGAGGUACCUUAUCGAAGGCCUUACUAAAAUCAAGAUAAACCACAUCAUAGCUCUCAUCAUUGUCAGCUGCCUCGUAUACUCUAUUGUAAAAGGAUAUAAGAUUAGUGAGGCACGACUUUCCUUUAGUAAACCCCUCUGAGUAAACCCAUGCUGUGAGUCGUGAAUUAAAUUGUCUGUCUAUAUUGUCCCUAAUACUAUCAGCUAUUAUUGACUCAAUCAUUUUACCUAUAACUGACGUCAAACUAAUCGGCCUAUAGUUCUCCAUAGAAGAUUUGUCUCCCUUCUUAAAUAUUGGAAUAACGUGUGCCUGCCUCCAUGAAACAGGCACCACCCCUGUGUCUAGUGACUUCCUAAAUACUUCUGUUAACUGCCCACUUAUCUCUGUUCCGCAUUCCUUUAUUACCCUGGGGAAAAGUUCAUCUGUCUCAUCACGAGCUCCCUACUUAUGUUGAUGUCGGUUGAUUCUUCUACCUCUUCUCCCUUGUAGAUCUGUCCUCCCUGAGGUAUAUCAUCUAAUCUUUCCUUGGUAAAUACAGUUAAGAAAUAUCUAUUUGACGCCUCGCUCAUUUCCUCAUCACUAUCAAUCAGUGAUUCUCCUGAAGCGGCCCUAUCUUAUCCCUAACCUUGGUCUUAUAAAGCUGAAAGAAGCCCUUUGGAUUGGUCUUUGCUUCCCUGGCAAUUCUAAUCUCAUAAUUACGUUUUGCCAUACGUAUGUUUUUCUUUACUGCUCUAGGUAAAUCGUUGUAACUAUCCCUUAAGUGAGUUUCCCCCCCUUUUAAUUCUAACAUAGUGUUAUGAAUGUGCUGUAUGUGAAUGAUUGUAUGUGGGGGGUGGCGUAACAAUAUAUUCCUCUUUUCCUUCCUAUUUCAGUUUUUAGCCUGUCUGUCAUCCAUCUCGGUCUGUUGACCUGACUUCCCUGUGAUGUAUAAACGGUUUCUGUCCUAAUUUAAUCUCCCUGACCAGACUAUUGUACUCACCCUCCAAGCUACUGAUCAGACUAGUGACCUCACCAGAGAUUACCGCCCCUCCCUGCUCUGGGUCCUGACCUACUUCUGAUCUCACUCCCCUAAGCUUCUGCAGCUGUUUUCUUAACCCCUCAUAGUCUGCCUUCCUGAAGUCAGGUAUUAAUGUGUUGUUACUGCUGACUCUAUCCUCCCAUUUAAUAUUAAAUCUAAUUUCCUUAUGAUCACUUACCUAAUGAAUCCCCAACCUCAAUGUUGCUUAUUAUGUCCUCACUAUUUGUUAACAACAAAUCCAAAAUAUUUUCUUCCCUCGUUGGUGUUCUAAUUAACUGCUUAAGGAAACUAUCCUGCAUCACAUCUAACAAAUCCUGUGCCUCUUGGUCUCCGGAUAAAGCAUCCCACUCUAUGUUCCUAUAAUUGAAAUCACCAAUUUCACACACAUUCCUAUAUCUUGACGCCCUACUGAUUUCUUGUAAAAGGGGUUGGCUACUGUCCCUGGUAAGGUUGGGUGGUCUGUAAAGUACUCCGAUGACAAGCUUCUCCUUCCUACCUAUUGUUUCAACCCAGAGGGAUUCUGUAUUGCUAUCUUCCUUGACCGAGUUGUUAAUGACACACUUAAGAUUGUCCCUGAUGAAGAGUGCGCCCCCACCCCCUUUCCUGCCUAUUCGAUCUUGGUGGGAUAACUUAUACCCUUCAAUCUCUAAUUCUGGGAGAAAGUGUCUGUCUGCAGUGUUUAUCCAUGACUCUGUGAUAGCUAUCAUAUCCAAUUUCUCUACGCACGCCUUUCCCCUCAAUAAAUCUAUCUUAUUCCUAAUACUUCUACUGUUUGUAUAGUACACAUUCAGGUCUAACCCUUGCCUUACCCUGCAGCCGCUAUUAUUAUUACUACAUUUAGUGCUCCCACUUGAUAUUGCCAUCUUAGGCCCCUUCUUACUUACCCUAAAAAAAAACCUGCAGGGCCCCCACUCCACGUUCAAGGGCAUCAGACAAGAUCUGUACCCCCUCCCAUGAAAGGUGAACCCCGUCCCUCUGGUAUAGGUGGUUCUUGCCAAAGAAACUGUCCCAGGCGUCGACAAAUUUCCAUCCAUUGGCUUUGCAAUAAUCUGCCAACCUGCAGUUUAAUGAAAUAGCCCUGGACAUCCAAAUGGCACCAACCCGCCGCCUUGGCAGAACCCCACACACCACAGGAACCCCGCCUUUGGUUGUAAUUCUUCGAACUGCCUCAAUGUAGCGACGCAUGCAGGAGCUACUCACUAUACCUAACCUGCUUAUGUCGCUCCCUCCCACGCUCAGGCAGACGAUGGGUUUGACUCCCUCGCCUGACAUGCAAGUACGACUCUACCCUGUCGCUGACAUCCUUAAUCCCCGCCCCAGGAAAACACACCCUUGUCCUACGUGUCCUAUCUUUAGCACAGAAGGCCCUAUCUAACAACCUGACCUGGCUAUCCCCAACAACCAAAAUGUUACCCCUGGGCAGGGAUUUGUCAUCUGCCCUCCUCUCCUUCACCUCCUGCUCCUUCACUCCCUCCCUCAGCUCAGAGAGAGCCUGGAAGGAGUUGCGGCACUCCACACCCGCAGGAUUGGUCCUCUUCAGCUUUAAGCAGUUUCCAUGGCUCUUGACUACCUGCCAGCCCCCAUCUUGUGACGAUGUACUAUGUACAUCACCUGUCUGAGGUCCUGAUGAACGAAGGACUCGAUUUUCCUUCCUCAUGGCCUCCACAAUCCUUUCUAACUCUUCAAUUCUCUCCAAGAGAGAAUUUACUAACUCAACUGUACCCCCACCGGCCCCGCCUCCUCCCUUCACUGCACCACUGUAACUCAUCCCACCAGACAUGGUCAACCCAAGAGCUAG